UUUAUUGCAAAAACAUCAGACAUUGGCCCGAGCUGUGAUUGGAUUAGAUCUGUGUUUGCUAUAAGAAUGUAGUUGUUUUUGGAAAGACCUUGCUUGUCCUAAUUCACACUCAUUUCCGGUUGGUGGCGGUAAUGCACCAAGUUGUUCUUUUGGAUCUGCCAUAAAAACAUCACGUCAAAGGAGAAAACCCAUGAAACGGGACAAGGGGGUGAAACAGCGCAUGCUCAGUAUUUUGGUGGACACCAGCUGUUCAACAGACUUCAUCUUCGCAGCAGAGGACUGUCGGACCAGAAGUUGGGUAUGAAAAACACGAAAAACUGUUCUAACAAUUGUUAUUUUAUUUGAUGAUUAAAGGUGAUGUAAACAUUUGUUUGCUGCUCUGAGACCUCAGCAGGGCAAAAACAAAACAAAGCACCAAGCUCCCCCUAGUGGUCGGAGGAAUGGACGCCACAUACAUCACUGGAGCCUUCACACAAGAGACAAAACUGUUUCUUGCCAAAUAGGAGUAACAAGAAGAGAACCAGAUGACUAUCUUCUGGAAUGAUUGGCUGAUAGAGGUGGAUGAGGGAACGCAGCCAGUGAUCUUGUUUACCAGGACCUCCACGAGCGCAUUGACAGAACCCGGUUCUCAGACCCUUUGGAAGACAGCGGCUUCCAGUAUCGCUUCAACUCCACUUACCUUAAGAAAGGGUUCAACAGUCUGGCUGCUGCUCGGAUUUUCCUCACCUUAAUGGAGCGCCUGG